GAGAAAUUUAAUCACAAUGAAGAGAAACGAAAAGAGCAAACAGAAAUUCUGACCUUUUUUUUCUUCUUGUCCUUCUUGUGUUUUUUCUCUUUCUUAGAUUUUUUAUCCUU
rnacentral:ribozyme from 1 species